CUAACACACAUGGCCCAUGGCCCGUAACACACAGUGAUAAACUUCCGAUCAACGUUGUUGCUGCUGUACUGAAAGGGCCUCUACUUGGCCAGACCCAGCUAGAAGACUAAGAUCAGGGGCACUCUGGACGCAGCCCACAAGGCUAGCUCUCUGCGGCACUGAGCAAGCCCUUAGAUUAUAUAUUAUAUUAGCCAUGAAAGUAACAAGUCCUGGAAAAGAAACGUGUACAUGAUGGAAAAGAAAGUACAGAGAGAAAAAAAGAAUGGAAUACACAUGAAUGCCGAACCACAUUGGAUAUGUAGCUGUUCAUGAAGAUAUUCCAUGCAAGGCCUAUCUAGUAGAGCCUCAAAUCUAUUUGAAUAAAAAUGGCACUCAUUGAGGACAUCUGCUUUCUGUAACAUCUACACAAAGUCUUACUAGGGGUCUUCUUGGCUCUUAUUGACUGCUGAUGAAGGAGGAGUUUACAAAGAAAACAAGUCAAAACCUGAAGAACUCUGCUACUGAAAGCAACACACAUAUUUUCCCAGAGUGCAAAGUUGAGAAGAAGAAGUACAAAGCUUUGUUAAUAUUCUGAACAGUACUGCUUAGUAUGAUCUAAUUGAUGGAUUUUCCAUGGACUCCCUAGAGACUGAAAAAGGUUUGACUGUCAGAAAACUUUUCUUGUGUUUAUUCUUCAAUAUUCCUUUUCAUACUUUCCAAUCAUCAUUCCCUGUUAACAUCCCUUGAUGGGUCACCUUAAGUGAUUCUUCGUUUGAAUGGCAUUUAUAACGUUUUAUAUUUCCCUGUUAGUUUCUAUCCUGACAAAGUACAUACGUUCUUAAUCUUCACUCAUAACAUUAAUUAACUUUUCCAACAUUUUAAAGCUCAGUUAACAUUUCUUUACAUACGCCUCUAUCUUUAAAAUAUGAGAUCUGAAUGUACUGGUAUCACUAAAAUUAUCUACAGAGUUCUAAUAUGAUGGAAAUUGUGCUACAAAAAUUUGUUCUUACAUAAUUUGCUUCAACGGAAUUCCUCCUGAACUAAAUACUUAGUCUUUACAUUCUUUAAAAUAACUGAAAUUUCCCAGAGGAAAGUCUGAAUUGUUCAUUUAACCUUGUGUGAUGUGUGUUGUCUGUAUCUAAAACAGCAAAGUGGACACACCCUGCAUGCCUAACAUUUUUGACUUUUUUUUUUUUUUUUUUUUUUUUGAGAUCAGGUUUCGUUUUUGUCACCCAAAAUGGAGUGCAGGGGUACAAUCUCCAGUCACUGCAACCUCCACCUCCUGGGUUCAAGUGAUUCUCCCACCUCAGCCUCCCAAGUGGCUGGGAUUACAGGUGUGCACCACCACACCUAGCUAAUUUUUUUUUUUUUUUUUUUCAGUAGAGACGUGGUUUCACCAUGUUGGCCAGGCUGGUUUUGAACUCCUGAACUCAGGUGAUCCGCCCCGUCUAGGCCUCCCAAAGGAAUUACAGGUGUGAGCCACAGCACCUGGCCAACUGUGACUCAUUUUUAAAGUGGUUUGGCAAUAAUGCUAUAGAUGUAUAAUGAUUUUGAAUAAAAUAUACAACUGUACAUGGCCUGUUAUCUUAUUUUAGACAGAAUAAUCUUAGUCUUGUACUUUCGUGUAUUAAGUUGAUAGCUAUAAGAUUUGGCAAGGAAAAAAUAGGGUAAAAUAGGACUCACUCAUUUCAAGAAAUAAAGAGUCAGUUUUCUUUGCGAGCAUUUGCCCCCCUUCUCCUUAGCCCACCAAUGUGGUAAAUGAGUCUUCCAGCUAUGAGGCUGUUUGUACCUCUGUCUGGGAGGAGACUUCUGGGGCUUUGGUUGCUGCUAUUGACUCGGAGGGGCUUUGAAGGCCCCCUUGAAGGUGUCACGCAUGACCUCUGGACUGUUGGCAUCUUUCAAGAAUCCUUAUGAGAUACUAACUCAUUUGGUUUAUAAUUGGUGAAAACAGAUCAUGUAUUUUUAAACCAGAU